AGUGAGCUUAUUAAAACUACUUGGCGGGAAACGUAAAAGUAAAUAAAACAUGCAGGCAUUGUUUUUGAUUCUCAGUGCAGGCUUACAAUCGGCUACAUUAUGUUUUGCUUUGUACGAGUACUGAAAAGCACAAGAUUUACACCCAGACAAAAUGUAUUAACCCAGCGUUUCUACAUUAACUCUAAUUCUGCAAAAGGCAGAGUCGGCGUCUUGGAGAGUGUAUUUGUGAUGGCCUUUAUCUCGAUUGCUGUCCUUGGUCCGGCUGGAUGGAUCCUGUCCAACGCGUGCGACUCCCACAGAAAACAGCCAUGACUGAGGAGGAUGCCUCCAGAUGGAUUUCAGACACAUCUUUGUAGUGUAGUGGUUUGAGUCCUACAUGAUUAUGAUUGAUUUGUAACUCUUUUAUUUUUUUUUUACCCAAAUCUGCUUAAAAUAAACAUCAGUCUGCAUAAGGUGUGAUUUGUUUGGUAAAUGUAAAAUUAGCACUUAAGUGAUUGCGCUGUCUGUUCUUUUCUUGUUACUGGCUUCGAGCAACUUCUGAAUUGUAAAAGUCUGUGCCUUGAUGUCGUCACAUUCACAAUGAUUUCUGAAACCACAAAUUGACUUCAGGUCAAGUGAGGAGUAAAUCCCUUUAAUAAAACUUAUGAAAGGCAGUGUAACAAAGGAAAAACACUGAAAGCAAGAUGAUAACAUUUACAACCACAAAAAAAACUACUGUACAACCCUAAUAAUGCUGCUGUUUGAUGCA